rnacentral:rRNA from 1 species
GACGAACGCUGGCGGCGUGCCUAAUACAUGCAAGUAGAACGCUGAAGCUUGGUGCUUGCACCGAGCGGAUGAGUUGCGAACGGGUGAGUAACGCGUAGGUAACCUGCCUGGUAGCGGGGGAUAACUAUUGGAAACGAUAGCUAAUACCGCAUAACAGUAGAUAUCGCUUGAUAGCUACUUGAAAGGUGCAAAUGCACCACUACCAGAUGGACCUGCGUUGUAUUAGCUAGUUGGUGAGGUAACGGCUCACCAAGGCAACGAUACAUAGCCGACCUGAGAGGGUGAUCGGCCACACUGGGACUGAGACACGGCCCAGACUCCUACGGGAGGCAGCAGUAGGGAAUCUUCGGCAAUGGACGGAAGUCUGACCGAGCAACGCCGCGUGAGUGAAGAAGGUUUUCGGAUCGUAAAGCUCUGUUGUAAGAGAAGAACGAGUGUGAGAGUGGAAAGUUCACACUGUGACGGUAUCUUACCAGAAAGGGACGGCUAACUACGUG